rnacentral:rRNA from 1 species
UACGAAGGGGGCUAGCGUUGUUCGGAUUUAUUGGGCGUAAAGGGCGCGUAGGCGGCCACGCACGUCCGUUGUGAAAUCGCCCGGCUCAACUGGGCGGGGUCGGCGGAUACGGCGUGGCUGGAGCAAGCUAGGGGGCAAUGGAAUUCCCGGUGUAGUGGUGGAAUGCGUAGAUAUCGGGAGGAACACCAGUGGCGAAGGCGGUUGCCUGGAGCUUUGCUGACGCUGAGGCGCGAAAGCGUGGGGAGCGAUCCGG